rnacentral:misc_RNA from 1 species
AACGCACGAGACCUGCGGACCUGCGGAGGGAUCGUUAAUGUGAUGGAUGUGCUAGUCUCAACCUCUCAAUCCUCCUUUCAAUAUCUUCUGUAUUGUUUAGGUGGGGGCCUGACGGCUCGAGGGGAAGGGAAAUAAGAGUCCGUUAGGGCGUGCACUCCAAUACAAAAUCCAAUCUUUACACCUUGUGCACCUACUGCCUGCUGAGCAAGAAAAGAAUAUCAAAAUGGUCUUCUUGAUUGU